rfam:Streptomyces uncialis strain DCA2648 scaffold9, whole genome shotgun sequence.
UGGCCUAUGGUGUAAUUGGCAGCACGACUGAUUCUGGUUCAGUUAGUUUAGGUUCGAGUCCUGGUAGGCCAG